CUUUGCCAGCCAGAAGGACUGUGCCUGACAAACCUGUGCUGCCCCGCAGACCGGUCAGGCGUCUGCCACGGUGCCACCUGCCGGAAGAGGACUGGGCUCCAGCUCCUCUCUGUGUCCAGUGGACUCUCCAGGGAGUCCCCACUCUGCUCUUGGUCUCCCUUCCCAGAGGAGCCUUUCCUGAUCUCCUACUUGAGGGUUGUCUCAACCAGGUAUCCCACAGAAGAGGAACAGCCACAGAAGCCAAGGGGUCCCACAGUAUAGUCCUUAAUAUAUCAUCUUCCUAGCAAUUCCCAAGCAAUCAUCUCUCUAUUCAGGAUAAUAAAAUGGGGGGGAAAAAUCCCCCCGUGAACAACAAACGUUUUCCAAAACUGAAGGAGAAAAGCAUUCUGAAGUCACACUGACUGUCUGGGUUAUAAUCCGGGCAGGAGGUUUUGGGGAAAGAAGACUGGUUGGGAGGUGGGCAUGGCGGUGAACACACAUACUCUUGGAAGAUCUCGCAGGCUGUGGUUUUGUGUGCCUGCGUGCAUGUGUGUUUGUGUGGGUGUUUGUGUAAGGUGUGAGCUGUGGACACGUGAGCUUUUGCACUGGGCCUGUCGUCUGGUUAACUGAGAUUCAGGCUCCAUGCUCUCUCUUUGGCCAAAAGGCAGACAGAAGGACCAAAGGCCUGUGGCUUGUCCCAUGUCUGAAGAUCAUACCAGGCAUUUCCUGCUCUGGGCUUUAAUGACUGAGUUGAGUAAAGUGAGUUAAUACUUGUAAGGUGCUUAGCACAGUGCCUGGCAGCUAGGAGGAGUUCAAUACAAGAGAGCUAUUUGUAUAAGCACUGUGGCCAUUAUCAUUAACAAUGAAUGAAACCCUGUAACUUGUCUGGCUACUUGUAACCUGUCUUGGCUACUUCUGAUGAUCUGAGUUGCUCUUUGCUGACUGGUUUCUCCAGCUCCGCUCCUACUGUGCUCGUUCCUGUAUCCCCAGCAAGGCCUGGUACACUGUACUCUCAGUGAAUACUUAGUGGAAACAAGACUGAAGAACUCAGUGCCCCUGGUUCCGCAGGCCCUGGCUCUAUGACCAAAUCCAAAGCUAGUCCCUGGGGAGAAGUACUUCCUCUGCAGACCCAGCUUCCAGACUCAGCCUUGCAGAGGGGCAGCGCCCGGCUUCCCCACCCCAGGCUGGUCUUGGACACACUCUCAGUCACCCAGUUCCCAUCUUCCGGGAGGAGGCAGUGCCUGAGCUGGGAUGACUCUGUCGCAUGGAAUUAGGAUUUUGUGCAUAAAGUAUUGAAUUUUACAUUUAAAGCUAUCUGUCGCAGAUGAUUUAUCAGACCCAGAGAAGGUGAAGAUAGUUUUCCUCUGUAAGGGAGGUGAUUUUUUAGCCAAGACAGGAUAUAUACACUAUGUAUAACCAAACCACGCAGUAAUCGGAGAUUAACGCUCUCCGUCCAGAGCCUCCAAGGAGGGGCCCAGGCGCUCGGAGGCCUCCACCUGCUCCCCUCCUCACACUCCAGGUCACAGGAGGGGGAUCGCUGGGAUUCAGGGUCCCACCAGGAGACGAAGAGUCACUUUUAGAUAGACUUAUCUGAGGCUGUUUUCCCUCCCUCCCUGCCACCUUUUAUUUGGCUUUGCCAGUAUAGCUGUGUAAGGUUCAGUCUUACAGUUAACGCAAAUGUUUGCAAAAAAGAGGCUUUUACAACUUAUUCCAUUCACCACUUAUCAGAUGCCUGGAAACUCAACUGAAAAACUGUCCCUGUUCUAGGAUGUCGACCUCCUACAGGAAGGAGAGCCUCUUCGGUCCUCAGACACACCUCGGAGGGGCAGAAAACACAACCCAUGGGGCAAAGGAGGGAAGAGACUGAAUUCAAAUGGCUGCCCCACCCCCAACAAGAGGAAACUGAGGCUCAAAGAGGUUAACCCAGUUACGCGAGGUCACGCAGCUGCACCCUUUCCCCGGCACCAGGACCAUCUCUCCAUCCUCCACAAUAAUCCCUUUAAGAGUUCAGAUUAAGGGGGUGCUUUUGGAGCCAGACUUGAGACGUGUGACUGGGCAAUUUCCUUAACUGCUUGAUGCUUCAGUUUCCUCAACUUUCCAUGGAGAUGGGCCUAGUAAUUAACAGUGGCUACCCUCACUGGGCCACGGCAUGUAAAGAGGAGGGCCUGGCACAGGAAGCACUCAAUCAGCUCAGCUGUUAUGAUGACUGUUAUUGACAUUAUUGCAUUUGCUAAGUGGAGCUGGGGGAGAAAGUACAGGGUGCUGGGUGUCCGGUGUCUGUCCUCUUGAGGACAGGAAGUGACCCGGGGCCAAGGGGCAGCAGGGAGGCUGGACACCAUGGGAAGACCCCUUCCGCCCCCCGCAGGAGGAGAAGCAGGGCUCACAGCCACAGGAAGGAAGACAGGACAGCAAGAGGGCGCACGGUCCAGACUGGAGCACAGGAUCUGCGAAUUUACCUAAUGAACAUCACAGGAGCAGCAGUGGGUCGAAAAGCUAAAUUUCCUGAUUUGGGAGCCGCUUAAUGAGGUUAUAAAAUGUGUUUCUCAUCACCUGUGGGCUGCCUGGGUUAGGGUCAGUGCUCAGGGCUUCACUCGCGGGACCACUGACAACAGUUUCCAGUCGUCGGGGAGACCUGAUCAGCAAUGUGGCUCUGGCCCUAGAGCCACAGCCCUCCCCAGCGGGGGAAAAACACCACCCUGGCUUCAGAGAACACAGUUUUAAUCAAACAGGCAACAGUGAGAUACCAGUGAGUUAAUGAGCCACGUACCAGCAAUUAGGGGCUCCACAGAACCUACCAGAGCAACGGACCCGGACAGGAUUGUAAAAUGAAAACACCGGUUAGAGUACAACAUGUGCCCCGCGCAGCCAUUUGUAUAAAACUAGAUUUGUGUGUGAUGGUGUUGGUAAGAGGUGGGGGUGUGGAGGGAGAAGGUGGGAGAGAGAAAAGAUGACGUGGGAGGAUGCUUAACAAAAUAUCAUCAAGAUCACUUUUGGAUGGUAGCAUUCAGUGAUUUUUUUUUUUUUUUUACUCUCUUAUCAUGUUUGUUUUGUUUCAUUUAAAAAAAAACUCGCAUUUGUUAUUUGAAAGGACAAUAAAUCAUGUUCAAUGGGAGACAGACGCUGGUGUUUAUUAACAGGAGGACCAUUUUGGCCGUGAGAGAAGAAUCGAGUAACAAGGGGUAAAGCCGCCAAUCAAUAGGAAUUUCCUGACAUGUUUCACUUGGGUUCAGCCUGGUCCCUGCCUUCCCAGGGCUCUUGUUCCAGCUAAGAGUGACCAUGUGAUCCAGCUCAAGCAAGUAAGACUGAAGGGGAGUUGGCUAGAAAUGCCUCUGAGAAAGACUUUCUCUUCUUGUUCCAGUGACAGACCUUUGAGAACAGCUUUCCGGUCCCCUCAUUUCUCCACUGCCCCCGUGUCCCUGGCUGUCCCUCCGCCAGCCGUUCCUUGGCUUCUUGCCUUAACAUGUGGUUGCAUGACGAAGUAAAUACUGGAGCCAUGGCAGCCAUGUUGUGACCAAGAGGUUAAAGGCUACCACCCUAAGGACGGCAGGUCAAAGGGGUAUAGGGCAUUCCUAGUGACACUGUGCAACUGCCAAAUCAGCUGUGAUACUAUCUGAUGACAAAGGUCAUGCUCCUACCAUGAUGCCCCCUGCCUGGGUAGGUAACUGUGACUUAGAGAGGACAGACUUGCCUACAGUCACAUGGUUAGCUUGUGGCAGAGCAGGGACAAAAUUUCCAGAGGCCCUUCCACUGUGUCAUAGGCCUCUCACCUACCUUAGUGCACCCCUGAGAUGGGGGGGUGAUGGGUGAUACCAGGUAAGAAAAACAUCUAACAAUUGCAAAACAGAAAAAAAUUUUUUUCCACUUCUGUCUGAAAAGCUCUAGUUCCCAAUAACUUGGGGGGCUUCUCUGAGGGUAUUCUGUAAGCUCCUUCAUUCAGCCCCUAAUUCAGUCUUCAUAUAUUGUUCAGGUACUGACCAUGUACCAGUUAAGUGCUGGGGAUAUAAGAGUGAACCGACAGAUAUGAGCCCUGCCCUCAUGGAGCUUGAAUAUGAAGAUAGAUAUCAAAGAAGUACUUUUACAAAUGGUUAAAUUGUAAGUGGAGUAGGUGCUACCCAAGAAGAAAAACCCAACCAGAAAGAGCUACAAGAGAAGGACCUACAGCAGGGGUGCAGGGUGGGUACAGGGCCCACCUCUCAGGAGGCAGCAUUCCAAGUGGAGUGGGUGCAGGCCAGAGAGACAGGGAGGAAGACGGGACUCCAGACUGGGGGGUGGGGCGAGGGCACUGUGGAGAGCCUGCGUGGUCUCUGCGUGUCUUCCAGAGCCCCCAGCUGGCACACGGGGUGCUGGGAAAUGUGUCUAAAUGAACAGAAGGCACUUCAUAGGCUGGCACGUGGGACUGGAAGCCAGAGAGCCCAGUCAGGGAGGCUGCUCUGGAUCUGGUGCUGGUGCAGGUCUGAUGUUCCCUCCAGAGAGAGGAUUCCACUGAGUCUCGUGGAGAAGUACAAAUAGUGAGUUAAUUCAAUGGGGGAAGCAUCACAAACACCAGCCAGGCUACAGGAGCUGGCAGAACAGCAGACCAGCUUGAGGCGGGCACAGCAAAGGGGAGGCACCUGA